rnacentral:rRNA from 2 species
CUUUGAUGGAGCACGCCGCGUGAGUGAUGAAGGUUUUCGGAUCGUAAAACUCUGUUGUUAAAGAAGAACAAGUGUUAGAGUAACUGUUAACACUUUGACGGUAUUUAACCAGAAAGCCACGGCUAACUACGUGCCAGCAGCCGCGGUAAUACGUAGGUGGCAAGCGUUGUCCGGAUUUAUUGGGCGUAAAGCGAGCGCAGGCGGUUUUGUAAGUCUGCUGUGAAAGCCCUCAGCUCAACUGAGGAAGUGCAGUGGAAACUACAAAACUUGAGUACAGAAGAGGAAAGUGGAACUCCAUGUGUAGCGGUGAAAUGCGUAGAUAUAUGGAAGAACACCAGUGGCGAAGGCGGCUUUCUGGUCUGUUACUGACGCUGAGGCUCGAAAGCAUGGGUAGCGAACAGGAUUAGAUACCCUGGUAGUCCAUGCCGUAAACGAUGAAUACUAGGUGUUGGAGGGUUUCCGCCCUUCAGUGCCGCAGCUAACGCAUUAAGUAUUCCGCCUGGGGAGUACGACCGCAAGGUUGAAACUCAAAGGAAUUGACGGGGGCCCGCACAAGUGGUGGAGCAUGUGGUUUAAUUCGAUGCUACGCGAAGAACCUUACCAGCUCUUGACAUCUUCUGCCAACCCAAGAGAUUGGGCGUUCCCUUCGGGGACAGAAUGACAGGUGGUGCAUGGUUGUCGUCAGCUCGUGUCGUGAGAUGUUGGGUUAAGUCCCGCAACGAGCGCAACCCUUAUUAUUAGUUGCCAGCAUUUAGUUGGGCACUCUAGUGAGACUGCCGGUGAUAAACCGGAGGAAGGUGGGGACGACGUCAAAUCAUCAUGCCCCUUAUGAGCUGGGCUACACACGUGCUACAAUGGAUGGUACAACGAGUCGCGAAACCGCGAGGUCAAGCUAAUCUCUUAAAGCCAUUCUCAGUUCGGAUUGCAGGCUGCAACUCGCCUGCAUGAAGUUGGAAUCACUAGUAAUCGUGGAUCAGCAUGCCACG